rnacentral:ncRNA from 1 species
AGGCCGCUUCCCUAUUAGUUCAAGACCAGCUUGAGUUAGGACACAUGGUGCCCUCUACCUCCCCUUGGAAUACCCCUAUUUUUGUUAUACAAAAGGGGUCUGGGAAGUGGAGGCUUCUUCAGGACCUACGGGCUAUCAGUAAAACUAUGCAGCCCAUGGGACCCUUACAACCAGGGCUACCCUUUCCUACUGUGAUCCCAAAGGAUUGGCACCUUAUUGUCAUAGAUUUAAAGGAUUGUUUCUUCUCUAUCCCCUUAGACCCUCGGGACCGAAAGCGUUUCGCCUUCUC